UGGUGGCCAGCGCGGACGGCGAGCUGCACCUCAGCCACAACGGCUCGGCCGCCGGCAUGCAGCUGUGCGUGGACGCCUCGCAGCCGCUCUGGAUGCUCUUCGGCCUCCACGGGGACAUCACGCAGAUCCGCAUCCUCGGCUCCACCAUCCUGGCAGAGCGAGGUACCCCAUCACUCCCCUGCUCCCCCGCCUCCACGCCAACCUCGCCCAGCGCCCUGGGCAGCCGUCUAUCUGACCCCUUGCUCAGCACGUGCAGCUCUGGCCCUCUGGGUAGCUCUGCUGGUGGGACAGCCCCCAACUCACCAGUGAGCCUGCCUGAGUCACCAGUGACCCCAGGUCUGGGCCAGUGGAGCGAUGAGUGCACCAUUUGCUAUGAACACGCAGUGGACACGGUCAUCUACACAUGUGGCCACAUGUGCCUCUGCUAUACCUGUGGCCUGCGCCUCAAGAAGGCUCUGCACGCCUGCUGCCCCAUCUGCCGCCGCCCCAUCAAGGACAUCAUCAAGACCUACCGCAGCUCCUAGCCCAUUGCGGUGGGCCACCCCACACGCCCACCUCCUCGGGCUUCUGCCCAGCCCCAGCUGAGGAACAAGCCAGUGGGGCCCCUUCUCUUCCUCAUUUUGGAAACU